GCGCACCCUCGUUCUUAGUUGCCAUCAUUCAGUUGGGCACUCUAGGGAGACUGCCGGUGAUAAACCGGAGGAAGGUGGGGAUGACGUCAAGUCAUCAUGCCCCUUACGUCCUGGGCUACACACGUACUACAAUGGGUGGGACAAAGGGCAGCGAACUCGCAAGAGCCAGCUAAUCCCAUAAACCCAUCCUCAGUUCAGAUUGCUCUCUGCAACUCGAGAGCAUGAAGGAGGAAUCGCUAGUAAUCGCAGGUCAGCAUACUGCGGUGAAUACGUUCCCGGGCCUUGU
rnacentral:rRNA from 1 species